rnacentral:rRNA from 1 species
GAUGAACGCUGGCGGCGUGCCUAAUACAUGCAAGUCGAGCGAACGGACGAGAAGCUUGCUUCUCUGAUGUUAGCGGCGGACGGGUGAGUAACACGUGGAUAACCUACCUAUAAGACUGGGAUAACUUCGGGAAACCGGAGCUAAUACCGGAUAAUAUUUUGAACCGCAUGGUUCAAAAGUGAAAGACGGUCUUGCUGUCACUUAUAGAUGGAUCCGCGCUGCAUUAGCUAGUUGGUAAGGUAACGGCUUACCAAGGCAACGAUGCAUAGCCGACCUGAGAGGGUGAUCGGCCACACUGGAACUUAGACACGGUCCAGACUCCUACGGGAGGCCGCAGUAGGGAAUCUUCCGCAAUGGGCGAAAGCCUGACGGAGCAACGCCGCGUGAGUGAUGAAGGUCUUCGGAUCGUAAAACUCUGUUAUUAGGGAAGAACAUAUGUGUAAGUAACUGUGCACAUCUUGACGGUACCUAAUCAGAAAGCCACGGCUAACUACGUG